UACGUAGGGGGCAAGCGUUAUCCAGAUUUACUGGGCGUAAAGCGCGUGUAGGCGGCUGGUUAGGUGUGAUGUGAAAUCUUCCGGCUCAACCGGAAAACUGCAUUGCAAACCGGCCUGGCUAGAGUGCAGGAGAGGGAAGCGGAAUUCCAGGUGUAGCGGUGAAAUGCGCAGAUAUCAGGAAGAACACCCGUGGCGAAAGCGGCUCUCUGGAACGGUACUGACGCUGAGACGCGAAAGCGUGGGGAGCGAACAGG
rnacentral:rRNA from 1 species